rnacentral:misc_RNA from 1 species
UAUAAUUUAUAACUACUAUAAUUGUAACACGAUAUAUAUGAAAUAUAUAAUUGUACUGUGACAUUAAUGUUAGCAAAAUUUAAAAAAACACAAAAGAAAAGAUUGAAAAUUGCUAAUUACGUUUUGCAACUCAAACCUAAUUAAAAGUAAAAUAACAGAUAAUCCAUAUCCUUGGUAAAAAAUUAGCAGACUUGAAUAUUUUUUUCAUUAAAUUUGACAGAUAAAAAGCUUUUAAUUUUUCUUUUUAAGUUACAGGUAUAUGUACUGCAAAAACACCAAAAAAAGCACAUCUCAAUAACUUUUUUAUUAUUUGCUUUUGAGAAAAACUGUUUUGAAUGUAUUUAGAGUUGCUUAAAAUCAGUUCUUCCCAGCUAGUUUGAUUAAUUUUUAAGAAAUAGUUUUGUUAUUAAUGUUAACUAAACUUUUGUUGUUUUUGUAUGUGUACCCCAAAAACUGCAUUCAAUUUAUCGAUUGUAUCUCUGCAACUAGUGAACCUAUGAAGUUGAAAUUUGGUGUGUCCUAAUUUUAUUUGAUCUGCUUUAAAUAAAACCAGUUACUGCUAACUUAAUCUUGGAGAAAAUACCAGAUGCACCACAAAAAUCACAAGAUAGGUACCUUAAAAACAACAUUGAUGUUUUAAAAAUAACAUUUUAUAGGCUAUGCAUGUGUUCUCGCUUUUUACUAUAUUGAUUCUAUGUAACCUCAUGAUUCUAAAGAUGUCAUUGCAGUGUUUUAAACAAAAUUUGCAUUGUGUUUUUUACGUAUUAAAAAUCGAUAUCAUUUUUAGAACAUAAUAGUUGCAAGAAUUUAUUAAAACUUACUUAGUGUUUGAACCUAGAGCAAAAUCUAAGUUUUCACUUGAAAGUUGUUUUUUAGUAUUUAGAUAUGUUCUGUAAGCAACUAAUGUACUCUAAAAUGUUUAACAAUAAUUUUUUUAAUCAAAUAGUUAGAAAAAAAUUAACAUAGAAAAUGAAGCGAAAAUUUCAGCUCAGACAGGAAAAAUUACAAUCUAUUCGUGGAAAGCCUGAAGCAUCAACUUGGAGGAAGUUCAAAGAUGCAAAGAAUUUACAAUUAGAAAAGGCAGUACAGUUUUGUAUCGACCACAGCGUGCGAGGCUUUAAGGCCUUGAAGACUGGUUUGUUUCCACUAGUAAAAGAUAGAGAAACGAUUAAUAGAAGAUUAGACCGAAUAAUAAAAAAUGGCAAGGAACGUCGCUAUUGUAGUUUAUUUACUCUUGAAGAGAAGGAGGCUGUAGUGAAGUAUGUCAAGAACAGGAAUAGAAGUCUGCAAGGUAUCAACAAGACAGAGUUGACCAAACUCCUUGAUAUUUUAAGGAUAAGGGACUACAUGAAUAAAAGAUGCAAAGGAGGUCGGAAGUUGAUUAAGUUGUCUCCUAAUGCAAAAUCAGCUCUGGUUAAUGGGAAACUUAGUCGUUCAUUUUGGACACGAUUCCAUGCAAAGCAUUCAAGCCUAACAAUUAAACGCCAGGGUCAGGUAUUAAUAAACAGAGCACUUAACUGUACCCGAGAAAUGGCUUGUAAUCAUUUGAAUGAUCUUGCAAUGGAACUUCAGGCAGCUGGUAUUAUGAAAAAUGCUAAAAAAGUAGACGAGGGUGUAUGGAAGGGUGACAUUGACACAACAAGAAUAUUUAAUGAUGAUGAGACACCGGAAUUUGUGAACUAUGGUGUUGAUGGUACUUCAACAGGCUUGGUAUAUGCAGGGAAAGGUGAACAAUGCUUAAAAAUGCAUAAAGAAAACAGGGAAUGUGUUUCAAUUUUCCUAUUUGUGUCUUUUUCAGGUGAUGUUUGUAUAUCAAGUAAUUUUUUCCUCGGUUGGAAUAACAAGCCAGAUGACACCACAAGUAGCUGUAGAAAAAAUCAGUCACCUCCUUGUUACAACAUCUGAAAAUGGGAUUUCAGAUAAUGACACUUUUAAGGCGGCUUGCCAAGAGUUUGAUGAUUUCCUUACUGAGAAGGCAAUAGAACGAUCUGUUAUUUUAUUAUCUGAUGGACAUAGUUCACGAUUCAGUUAUGACGGUUUAAUAUACCUCCUUUCAAAACAAAUUUGGUUACUAAUUUCUCCUCCCGACACUACUGGUGUAACUCAGUUGCUUGACCAGGUUAAUAAAAAUCUUCAUCAUGAGUACAGAAUUGCCAAGAAUUAUCUUUUCAAUCCAAUUCAAUCAAUUAAUUGAGAGGGAUUUAUGACCAUCUUAAGCAAUAUAUGGGAGAAAUAGACAUCAAAAUCGGUUCUUGUUUCUAGUGCAAAAAGAGUUAGAAUAACAUCUUUUGAAUUAAAUGUUAAAUUUAUGCAACAAGAUAAAUUUGAGCGAGCUGCUGCACGCAUUCAUAAAGAAGAACCAGCGUCAACUUCUUUUAAAAAACCUGAAUCAACCAUUUCGUCACCAGUUCGUAUAAGGAAAGGUUCGGCAAGUUACUGGAAAGAUAAGUUUGACCAGUCUUAAAUCUUGAUUAGAGAAAUGGCUGAGCAAAGCCUCCAAUUAGAAAAUAUUCCUGAUCUGCUAACUAUUAAUAAAAUUAAACCAAACCUUGAAAAAUUUCUACUCGUGUUACUCAGGUCUAUGGUUCGAUGCGUGCAAAAGAUGUUGCAGCAAAAGUGAAAGAUAUAAAAGAAGAGAAACGACAAAAGAUAACAGCCAAGGAGGAAGCCAAAAAAAAGAAAGAAGAAGCUAAAGAAAAGUUUAUUAAAUGUAAAGUUGAAUGUUUUUGCAAACAAAGGAAAUGUCAAGCUUUUGGCCUAAAGCAAUGUCCUAAUUGUCUUGAUGUUCUCCGUUCAAUUUGCAGCAAAGUGAGUUGCAGAGUUGAUGGUGUUAAACCGGUUAUGCUUUUACCAGCAAACCAGCACUUCUCCACAUCUAAAAGACUGAUAUACGACCAUUAUAACGAAUGCAACGACAAUCAAUAAUCUGUUUUUGAAUUAAAGUAAUCAGUUAAAGUAUUUUAUUUAUCUAUUUUAUCUUAACAUUUUAUAUAUCUAUGUUAUCUUAACAUUGUUGCAGUAACCUAUUGUUAUAAUAAUGUUAUAAAGUUUGCAGCCAUUUUAGAUGUGUUAUUACUGCUGCGUUCAAAUAUUGUUUUUAAGAUAAAUGUAUAUUAUUUUCUUUAAAAAAAAUCUAAUACAAUGGUAAUUUAUUGUUUUUGUUUUUUAUUUCAAAACAUGGUCUGUAAAGUGAAUUCUAUAAAAUGUACCCCAAAACUUUUUUUCAGUAUCUAUUUAUAAUCCAUAGGUAAUAAAAAAACUAUAUUUAGCUAACUUAUUCUCUGAUACGGCUUCUAGGCUCCACAAAACAAAAAAAACUAUACGUUUUUAUAAUUGAAAUUUUUACUCUAGUGCAGAUACCAACAUAUUUAACAUAUAAAAAACCACUGAAACUGCUUUAAUUUAUAUGCUGACAUAUUAGCUAUCAUUAUAUAUCAAGUUUUUUGAAUCCUGAAUUUUUUUUUACAUGCUAGGUCACUUAAGCCAACAUUGUGGUUUUUGCGGUACGGUUGUUUUUGCGCUGCAUUUAAUACCGGUAGUUGCAAUGGUGAUCGUUUUUUAUCUGCGUUAGUUAUCUUUAUUAUUAUAUUUAUUAUUGGUAGUAGUAUUUAACCGUUAAAUGAUUGAACAAAAAACAAUGUAAAGUGUAUUUUUUUGUAGGUGAUUUUUGGAGUUUUGAUUCUGAAA